AGUUCGACCGGAUCGACCGCUCGCGUCACCGUCAGGUAAUCACGCAGCGCGAUUCCGUGCCUUCCCUC
rnacentral:sRNA from 1 species